rnacentral:rRNA from 1 species
UACGUAGGGGGCUAGCGUUGUCCGGAAUUAUUGGGCGUAAAGAGCUCGUAGGCGGUCUGUCGCGUCGGCUGUGAAAUCCCGAGGCUCAACCUCGGGUCUGCAGUCGAUACGGGCAAACUAGAGUAUUGCAGGGGAGACUGGAAUUCCUGGUGUAGCGGUGAAAUGCGCAGAUAUCAGGAGGAACACCGGUGGCGAAGGCGGGUCUCUGGGCAAUAACUGACGCUGAGGAGCGAAAGCGUGGGGAGCGAACAGG